GUCAUUGUGGCAUAGUGGCUUGAGUGUUAGACUACAACUCUGGAGACCAGGGUCCGACUCCCAGCUCGCAUA